rnacentral:lncRNA from 1 species
CUUCUUCCUUCCAUCCCUCUCCUCUACAACUUGAUUUUAGUGAAUAACAUCUUAGUGCCUCCCUGUGAUUACAGGUGAGACAGUCAACAAACCUCUAACCACCGACCUUUUCUCCUCUGCUCUCCACUCACACUCUGCUCUGUCACCCUCAGCCACACAGCUGAUGCUGUAGAGAUUCACUGACAUCCAGUCCGAUGGACACUGUUUCUCCAGCCGAAACUGCUCAUGAGAACAUGUGCAGUGAAGUGCUCCAGAGGCCCCAGCAUGCUACAUUACAGAAGACUGAACUCAGGAGAGAUGAGGAAUAAUCCCCUCCGUCACACCAGACACCAGGAGGGUGUGCCAAGGUGUGAGACAUACAGUCCAACAUGCGACACUAUGAAAGACUGAACUCAGGAGCAGAGAUGAGGAAUAAUCCCCUCCAUCACACCAGACACCAGGAGGGUGUGCCAAGGUGUGAGACAUACAGUCCAACAUGCGACACUAUGGAAGACUGAACUCAGGAGCAGAGAUGAGGAAUAAUCCCCUCCAUCACACCAGACACCAGGAGGGUGUGCCAAGGUGUGAGACAUACAGUCCAACAUGCGACACUAUGGAAGACCGAACUCAGGAGCAGAGAUGAGGAAUAAUCCCCUCCAUCACAACAGACACCAGGAGGGUGUGCCAAGGUGUGAGACAUACAGUCCAACAUGCUACACUAUGGAAGACUGAACUCAGGAGCAGAGAUGAGGAAUAAUCCCCUCCAUCACAACAGACACCAGGAGGGUGUGCCAAGGUGUGAGACAUACAGUCCUUAAUGGUUUUUUGUUUUGUUUUGUGAGACGGAGUUUCACUCUUGUCCCCCAGGCUGGAGUGCAAUGGCGCGAUCUCGGCUCACUGCAACCUCUGCUUCCUGGGUUCAAGCGAUUCUCCAGCCUCAGCUUCCCCAGUAGCUGGCAUUACAGGUGCAUGCCACCAUGCCCGGCUAGUUUUCUGUAUGCCUGGCUAAGUUCUGUAUUUUUAGUAGAGACAGGUUUCACCAUGUUGGCCGGGCUGGUCUCAAACUCCUGAUCUCAGGUGAUCCGCCCACCUCGGCCUCCCAAAGUGCUGGGAUUAUAGGCGUGAGCCACUGCACCCAGCCCAGUCCUUACUUUUA